GUUCAUCGCCAGGGCUCUAAGACAGCGAGCCAUGUUCCUUCUUCUGGUGCUUCUCACUGGACUUGGUGGGAUGCAUGCAGACCUCAAUCCUCAUAAAAUCUUCCUGCAGACCACAAUUCCAGAGAAGAUUUCAUCAUCGGAUGCAAAAACAGAUCCAGAACAUAAUAUCAAUUUUAUCUUCAGCUUCUGUUAUUAAUUCUUAUGACGAAAAUGACAUCCGUCAUUCCAAACCUCUGCUAGUUCAGAUGGAUUGCAAUUAUAAUGGAUAUGUUGUGGGUAUUCCAAAUUCUCUUGUGACUCUCAGCAUAUGUUCAGGACUCAGGGGAACAAUGCAGCUGAAAAACAUCUCAUAUGGAAUUGAACCGAUAGAGGCUGUAUCAGGAUUUAUACACAAGAUUUAUGAAGAAAAAUAUGCUGACACUAAUAUUCUCUUAGAAGAAAAUGACACUUAUACUUGGUUUAAUUCAGAGUAUCAAGUCAGAAAAAGUUCAGAAAAAACUGACUUUAUUAAGUUAUUCUCUCGAUAUAUUGAAAUGCAUAUUGUUGUGGACAAAAAUUUGUUCAAACCGGCUAAUACGAUUUAUAGGAAAUCAGUUGAUAAAGAAUGCGAUUUCACUGACUAUUACAAUGGGGACCUUCCAUACUGUUUGCCUGACACUUAUGUACGUGAUGGAGAAUAUUGUGAUUCAGAUGGAGCCUUCUGUUUUCAAGGAAAGUGUUGGACUUUUGACAAACAAUGUGAUGAUUUAAUUGGAAGAGGUUCAAGAGGUGCUCCAAUUUUCUGUUAUGAUGAAAUUAAUACCAGAGGAGACAAUUUUGGAAACUGUGGCACUGCACAUUGUCUUUUCCAACAUAUUCUAUGUGCAAAAUUAUUCUGUACAUGGGAACACAGAGACUUAAUAUCACGUCCAAAUUUAUCUGUGAUUUAUGCACAUGUAGGAGACCAAACAUGUGUGUCUAUAUACCUACCCAGGAGGACGCCACCUCCAGUAAAUUCACCUAUUUCAAUCACAUCAUAUUAUUCAGCUGAAGACAGAGAUGAAACAUUUGUACAAGAUGGUUCCAUGUGUGGUCCUGAUAUGUAUUGUUUCGAAAUGCAUUGUAAACAUGUUAGAUUCCUGAUGAAUUUAAAAUUGUGUGAUGCUUCUAAUCAUUGUGAUCGUCAUGGAGUUUGUAACAAUUUUAACCAUUGCCAUUGUGAAAAGGGAUAUAAUCCUCCUUACUGCCAACCAAAGCAAGGAGCAUUUGGAAGUAUUGAUGAUGGACACUUAGUACCACCAACUG
rnacentral:sRNA from 1 species